rnacentral:rRNA from 1 species
CUUGGUCAUUUAGAGGAAGUAAAAGUCGUAACAAGGUAACCGUAGGUGAACCUGCGGUUGGAUCAUUAAAAAAUCUAAACCCAAGGGGGAGAGGGGCCAAACAGCCUCUUUCUUUCCUUAACAACACCUUGCGAACUAUUGAACUCUUUUUUGGCGGAUGACAGUGGAAACACGAUCGCCGCCAAACAAAACAAACACCUUUUAUAUUUUGGAACUGACUUUUUUCAUAAACUAAUGAAAGAAAAACAACUUUUAACAACGGAUCUCUUGGCUCUCGCAACGAUGAAGAACGCAGCGAAAUGCGAUACGUAGUGUGAAUUGCAAAAUCGUGAAUCAUCGAAUCUUUGAACGCAUCUUGCACUCUCUUCUGGAGAGUAUGCCUGUUUGAGUAUCUACUCAAUUCUCAAACUCGUUUUAUUGUUUUGCAGUAAAGCGACGUUUGGUUGAUGAGCCUUUCUUGUCACCGAGAAUGGCUUGAAAUGUAGAUGGCCCGUGAUUCUAGCUUUACUCAAGCUGCAGUCAUUGUGGAUUCAAAACAGUGUUUGAAUAGGUGGAGCAAUUCAUCUUUCUACGCUUACUAUGAGUCUCUGAUUGUAGUCUGUCCAAUUCGUUGGGCGGUGAUGUUGGAAACAUGUCGGUCCCAUACCCAUGAUACAAUCUGUUUCGGCAGUUUGAACUCUAGGUCUCAAAUCAGGUAGGAUUACCCGCUGAACUUAAGCAUAUCAAUAAGCGGAGGA